ensembl:snRNA U6 U6 spliceosomal RNA
GUGCUUGCUUUGGCAGCACAUAUACUGAAAUUGGAACGCUGCAGAGAUUAGCUAGCCCCUGUGCGAGGGUGAGGCCCAAAUUCGUGAAGCAAUUCAUAUUUUU